AUUGAACGCUGGCGGCAGGCCUAACACAUGCAAGUCGAACGGUAACAGGAAGCAGCUUGCUGCUUCGCUGACGAGUGGCGGACGGGUGAGUAAUGUCUGGGAAGCUGCCUGAUGGAGGGGGAUAACUACUGGAAACGGUAGCUAAUACCGCAUAAUGUCGCAAGACCAAAGAGGGGGACCUUCGGGCCUCUUGCCAUCGGAUGUGCCCAGAUGGGAUUAGCUUGUUGGUGGGGUAACGGCUCACCAAGGCGACGAUCCCUAGCUGAUCUGAGAGGAUGACCAGCCACACUGGAACUGAGCCACGGUCCAGACUCCUACGGGAGGCAGCAUUGGGGAUUAUUGCACAGUGGGCGCAAGCAUGAUGCAGCCGUGCCGCGUGUAUCAAGAAGGCCUUCGGCUUGUAAAAUACUUUCAGCGGGGAGAAAGGGAGUCAAGUUAAUACCUCAACUCAUUGACGUUACCCUGAGAAGAAGCACCGGCUAACUCCGUG
rnacentral:rRNA from 1 species